rnacentral:rRNA from 1 species
AUACGAAGGUCCCAAGCGUUAUCCGGAUUUAUUGGGUUUAAAGGGUGCGUAGGCGGGCUAUUAAGUCAGUGGUGAAAGCUCUCAGCUUAACUGGGAAACUGCCAUUGAUACUGAUAGUCUUGAGUAUGAUUGAAGUGGGCGGAAUGUGUCAUGUAGCGGUGAAAUGCUUAGAUAUGACACAGAACACCGAUUGCGAAGGCAGCUCACUAAGCCAUAACUGACGCUGAUGCACGAAAGCGUGGGGAGCAAACAGGAUUAGAUACCCUGGUAGUCCACGCCCUAAACGAUGAUCACUCGAUGUGUGCGAUAAACUGUACGCGUCCAAGCGAAAGCAUUAAGUGAUCCACCUGGGGAGUACGACCGCAAGGUUGAA